rnacentral:tRNA from 2 species
UUAUAGUUCAGUUGGUUAGAGCGUCAGAUUGUGGUUCUGAAUGUCGUGGGUUCGAGUCCCACUAA